rnacentral:tRNA from 1 species
GCUCGGGUGGUGAAAUUGGCAGACACGCUGGAUUUAGGUUCCUGUGCCGCAAGGCGUGCGGGUUCGACCCCCGCCCCGAGCA